rnacentral:rRNA from 1 species
GACGAACGCUGGCGGCGUGCUUAACACAUGCCAGUCGAACGGAAAGGCCCUGCUCUUGUGGGGUGCUCGAUUGGCGAACGGGUGAGUAACACGUGAGUAACCUGCCCUUGACUUUGUGAUAACUUCAGGAAACUGGGGCUCAUACCGGAUAGGAGCUCCUGCUGCAUGGUGGUGGUUGGAGAGUUUCGGCGGUUGGGGAUGGACUCGCGGCUUAUCAGCUUGUUGGUGGGGUAGUGGCUUACCAAGGCUUUGACGGGUAGCCGGCCUGAGAGGGUGACCGGGCACAUUGGGACUGAGAGACGGCCCAGACUCCUACGGGAGGCAGCAGUGGGGAAUAUUGCACAAUGGGCGGAAGCCUGAUGCAGCAACGCCGCGUGCGGGAUGACGGCCUUCGGGUUGUAAACCGCUGUCGCCUGUGACGAAGCGUGAGUGACGGUAAUGGGUAAAGAAGCACCGGCUAACUACGUG